UAAGGAAUAUUGGACAAUGGAGGCAACUCUGAUCCAGCCAUGCCGCGUGAAGGAAUAAUGCCCUAUGGGUUGUAAACUUCUUUUAGACGGGACAAAACCCCUUUACGUGUAAAGGGUUGAUGGUACUGUCAGAAUAAGCAUCGGCUAACUUCGUGCCAGCAGCCGCGGUAAUACGAAGGAUGCAAGCGUUAUCCGGAAUUAUUGGGUUUAAAGGGUGCGUAGGCGGACUAAUAAGUCAGUGGUGAAAGCCUGCAGCUUAACUGCAGAAUUGCCAUUGAUACUGUUAGUCUUGAGUACAGUUGAGGUAGGCGGAAUGUGUCAUGUAGCGGUGAAAUGCUUAGAUAUGACACAGAACACCGAUUGCGAAGGCAGCUUGCUAAGCUGUAACUGACGCUGAGGCACGAAAGCGUGGGGAGCAAACA
rnacentral:rRNA from 1 species